UCCCCACCUUACUUCAUUCCCGGCUGGGCAAUGCUCAGCCCUCCGCGCUGUCACAGUCGCCUUGCCCUGCCUUGCCUCUCUGCCUACUCUGCGUUCCCCGCUGGGAGGAGGGUCUGGUGAUAAAAUAGCGGCGAGACUGUGGAAAUGAUGUUAGACAAAAAGCAAAUUCGAGCAAUUUUCUUAUUCGAGUUCAAAAUGGGUUGUAAAGCCGCGGAGACAUCUCGCAGCAUCAACAACGCAUCUGGCGCAGGAACUGCUAACGAACACACAGUAGUGCAGUGGUGGUUCAAGAAGUUUCGCAAAGGAGAGGAGAGCCUUGAACAUAAGUAGUAUAGUGGCUGGCCAUCAAAAGUUGACAGUGACCAAUUGAGAGCAAUCAUUGAAGCUGAUCCUCUUAUAACUACACAAGAAGUUGCCGAAGAACUCAGCAUUGACCAUUCUACAGUCGUUCGGCAUAUGAAGCAAAUUGGAAAGGUGAAAAAGCUUGGUUAAGUGAGUGCCUCGUGAACUAAGCAAAAAUCAAAAAAAUCGUGGUUGUGAAGAGUCAUCUUCUCUUAUUCUACAUAACAACAAUGAACCAUUUCUCAUUUGGAUUGUGAUGUGCCACUACAAGUGGAUUUUAUACGACAGCCAGUGACAGCCAGCUCAGUGGUUGGACCAGGAAGCUCCAAAGCAUUUCCCAAAGCCAGACUUGCACCAGAAAAAGGUCAUGGGCACUGUUUGGUGGUCUGCUGCUGUUCUGAUCCACUACAGCUUUCUGAAUCCUGGUGAAACCCUUACAUCUGAGAAGUAUGCUCAGCAAAUCAAUGAGAUGCACCAAAGACUGCAAUGCCUGCAGCUGGCAUUGGUCAACAGAAAGAGCCCAAUUCUCCACGACAGUGCCCGACCACACACUGCACAACCAGCACUUGGGAAGUUGAAUGAAUUGGGCUACAAAAUUUUGCCUCAUCCUCCAUAUUCACCUCACCUCUCUCCGAACGACUACCACCUUCUUCAAGCAUCUUGACAACUUUUUUCAGGAAAAACGCUUCCACAGUCAGCAGGAUGCAGAACAUGCUUUCCAAGAGUUGGUUGAAUCCCGAAGCAUGGAUUUUUAUGCUACAGGAAUAAACAAACUUAUUUCUCAUUGGCAAAAAUGUAUUGAUUGUAAUGGUUCCUAUUUUGAUUAGUAAGAUGCGUUUGAGCCGAGUUACAAUGAUUUAAAAUUCACAGUCCAAAACCACAAUUACUCUUGCACCAAGCUAAUACCACACAGUGCCCAGUGUAAUUUCUUGGCAUGAGAGCAUUUAUCGUUGAACUGAAUUGUUGAACCAUCAUGUUUCCCACCAGAGAGGAAACUCCUUUAGAGCAGUAGAUCAUAUGUUAUACUCCUUUGUCUCUCCUGAAGUUUAUAGUGUAGUGACAUAGAUGAUUAAUUCAAAGGAAGAUAGAUGUAUAGAUACAUGCCUUAGAACUUACUUGCUUUACAAUAGAAGUUCAGAGAAAGGAAACAUUGGGGCAGGGGAAUGUGGACAAGUCAGAGGCUUUUGAAGGAAAUGAUUUUGAGCCAGCCCUUAAGGAAUGGAUAUGAUUUUAAGCAUGUUGAGAGGGACAAUGUCUUGAGAAAGAGUUCAUAAUGGGAAAUAGAACCUCUCCUAGAACACCAGUCCCAAAGUGGGUCCAUAGCCUAGGAACAAUUGGAAUAUUUCAUGAAUAUCUCUAGGGCUACUUCGAAAUCAAAGGAAAUAAAGUGUUCCAGUUGUUUCUGA